CGGCGCGCCUCUCCAUCCCUCAGCUUCCCCCCUACGCCAGCCUCUUCCCUGCCUUCCUCCCCUUCUCAGUGAUUCCAGGACCCAGGCAGAAAGUCACACAAAACACUUUGUGUCUGUCAGCAGAUUCCUGGAAGGUCACGCUGAAUGAUGAAUGCUCCCGGGUAGGAUUGGAGGGUUCUUUUUUCUUAUUUUCUUAUUUAUUUUUUUCUUUUCUUUCUUUUUUUGUCUCCCAUGAAUUGCAUCACCGGGCAGCCUCUUGGCUGUAUUCAUCAGACUCCUGCGGUUUUCAGACCUUUCCCAAUUGUUCUGCGUCUGCUUCCUUUCCAGGCCCCUUCUGGCCAAAGCAGGAUAUCCAGGGUUGGCUGUGGCCAGGGAGCUGGGCCUUGUCCAGCACUUUCCAUAGCCGCUCCUGCCCAUCCCUUCCGCCCUUCCCAGAGCUGGAACAGAAGCGGGCCUGGGGACAGAAAAACUGACAUUGCCGUGACCCAGGCGACUGUCUCCUGGCCUCCAUUCCCAUUCCAAUAGAUUCAUCCGUUCCUGGUAGAAAAGGAAUCCCGAGUUGAAACAUUACAUCAAACUGCUAGUCUGCACCCCGCACCAUGAAAUAUCAGCUUUAUUGGUUCCAUUCUUCAAGACAUUGCGAAAUAAUGCAAAGCACAUUGUGUAACCAGGAUACGGCAGAUUUCAACGCACCCCAUCUCAAAUGACCUUCUUGGUUUCCUCAGUAAGUGUAAAUUACUUAGUACAGUGGAGUUAACUCAACUAUUAUUCACUCAAAACAACAUGGUUAUUAGUCAUUUAAUACAAAGCCCACAUGAGAUGCCUCUAGUAUAUAAAAUACGUUAUGGGGAAUUACGCACUUAUUGAAGUCCUCUAAAGCAUGUGCUUGAAAAUUCAGGGAAUGGUCGCAUCAGCACAUCUAGAUUUUAAUUAAACUUGACAGUGAUCACAGUGUAAGUCUUUUGGUAAAUAAGGGGGAGGAUGUAUUGUUGUGUUUCUUUGGUGAACAAUAGGGGAAAACGAUAACGUAAUAAAGUUUGCAAAUCCCUUGCA
rnacentral:lncRNA from 1 species